AAUGUCCAGGGUAACCUAGUGGACAUGGCAUCUGCCCGGUAAGCGGAACACUGUGGGUUCGAUUCCUAUCCCUAUCA
rnacentral:tRNA from 1 species